rnacentral:rRNA from 1 species
AACGAACGCUGGCGGCGCGCUUAACACAUGCAAGUCGAACGAGAAGCUGUAGCAAUACAGUUGUAAAGUGGCAAACGGGUGAGUAAUGCGUGGGUAAUCUACCCUAGGGUGGGGAAUAACUCCUCGAAAGGGGAGCUAAUGCCGACAUGUGCGCCACUCUCGCAAGGGAGUGAUGGAAAGCCGUACCGUGGGUGCGGCGCCCAAGGAUGAGCUCACGUCCUANCAGCUUGUUGGCGGGGUAACGGCCCACCAAGGCUGCGACGGGUAGCUGGUCUGAGAGGACGACCAGCCACACUGGCACUGCGACACGGGCCAGACUCCUACGGGAGGCAGCAGUGAGGAAUAUUGCACAAUGGACGACAGUCUGACGCAGCGACGCCGC